rnacentral:rRNA from 1 species
GAAUCUGCCCGAUAGUGGGGGAUAACCUGGGGAAACCCAGGCUAAUACCGCAUACGUCCUACGGGAGAAAGGGGGCUCCGGCUCCCGCUAUGGGAUGAGCCUAUGUCGGAUUAGCUAGUUGGUGAGGUAACGGCUCACCAAGGCCACGAUCCGUAGCUGGUCUGAGAGGAUGAUCAGCCACAUCGGGACUGAGACACGGCCCGAACUCCUACGGGAGGCAGCAGUGGGGAAUAUUGGACAAUGGGGGCAACCCUGAUCCAGCCAUGCCGCGUGUGUGAAGAAGGCCCUCGGGUUGUAAAGCACUUUCAGCGAGGAAGAACGCCUAGCGGUUAAUACCCGCUAGGAAAGACAUCACUCGCAGAAGAAGCACCGGCUAACUCCGUGCCAGCAGCCGCGGUAAUACGGAGGGUGCGAGCGUUAAUCGGAAUUACUGGGCGUAAAGCGCGCGUAGGUGGCUUGAUAAGCCGGUUGUGAAAGCCCCGGGCUCAACCUGUGAACGGCAUCCGGGAACUGUCAAGCUAGAGUGCAGGAGAGGAAGGUAGAAUUCCCGGGUGUAGCGGUGAAAUGCGUAGAGAUCGGGAGGAAUACCA